UCCAGCAGUAGUCAGCUGUCGGGACAGAACCAUUCCUAUGACGGUGUUACACUGCUGGGAGAGGAAUGUUCUGUCUUCUUCCUCCAGUUACCUACGUCACUGUUCUGGUGAGGUCUGGCACUGGUGAGGGCAGAGCUGUGCUUCCCUGAGAGUGUGCUAAGCAUUCACUUUGGCUGCUUAGUUCUAGUCUGGGAGCAGACACA
ensembl:snoRNA SNORA74 Small nucleolar RNA SNORA74